UACGUAGGGGGCAAGCGUUGUCCGGAAUCAUUGGGCGUAAAGAGCGUGUAGGCGGCCCGGUAAGUCCGCUGUGAAAGUCCAGGGCUCAACCCUGGAAUGCCGGUGGAAACUGUCGGGCUAGAGUCCGGAAGAGGCGAGUGGAAUUCCUGGUGUAGCGGUGAAAUGCGCAGAUAUCAGGAGGAACACCAAUGGCGAAGGCAGCUCGCUGGGACGUUACUGACGCUGAGACGCGAAAGCGUGGGGAGCAAACAGG
rnacentral:rRNA from 1 species